rnacentral:misc_RNA from 1 species
GUGAUUAUAACUCGUAAUUUUCAAUGUAAUGAAUUUCCCUGCCUUCACAAUUCUUUCUUUCUUCUUUUCUUUUCUUCUUCUUUUAAAGAUUGUAUCUUGUUAAUUUUAUGCUUGAUUGUUUAUCAGUUUGCGAAUUGGGUUAGAAACUUACUCUAGACUCUAGAGCUAACGUAAUUGUUUAUUGGUGGAAUUAUUACCUAGGUUUAUGUGCUUAAAUUAGCUAUCCUUGCUAUGUUCUGUUAUUUUAUACAAUUUGGCACAUCAACAGGUGGCUUAAUAUGCUAUUCUAUAUGUAUUACAGCAUGAGCCGAUAUGUACCUACAUAAAAGAAGUUUUGUUGUUUCAACAGGAAGUUGAGAAGUUUUACAAUU